UACGAAGGGGGCUAGCGUUGUUCGGAAUUACUGGGCGUAAAGCGCGCGCAGGCGGCUUCGCAAGUCAGUGGUGAAAUCCCAGAGCUCAACUCCGGAAUUGCCAUUGAAACUGCAAAGCUUCGAGUACGGGAGAGGUGAGUGGAAUUCCCAGUGUAGAGGUGAAAUUCGUAGAUAUUGGGAAGAACACCGGUGGCGAAGGCGGCUCACUGGCCCGUUACUGACGCUCAGGCGCGACAGCGUGGGGAUCAAACAGG
rnacentral:rRNA from 1 species